rnacentral:rRNA from 1 species
UACGUAGGCAGCAAGCGUUGUUCGGAGUUACUGGGCGUAAAGGGUGUGUAGGCGGUUCUUUAAGUUUGGUGUGAAAUCUCCCGGCUCAACCGGGAGGGUGCGCCGAAUACUGAGGGACUCGAGUGCGGGAGAGGAAAGUGGAAUUCCUGGUGUAGCAGUGAAAUGCGUAGAUAUCAGAAGGAACAUCAGUGGCGAAGGCGGCUUUCUGGACCAAUACUGACGAUCAGGUGCGAAAGCGUGGGGAGCAAACAGG